rnacentral:rRNA from 1 species
GCCCAGAGCCUGAAUCAGUGUGUGUGUUAGUGGAAGCGUCUGGAAAGGCGCGCGAUACAGGGUGACAGCCCCGUACACAAAAAUGCACAUGCUGUGAGCUCGAUGAGUAGGGCGGGACACGUGGUAUCCUGUCUGAAUAUGGGGGGACCAUCCUCCAAGGCUAAAUACUCCUGACUGACCGAUAGUGAACCAGUACCGUGAGGGAAAGGCGAAAAGAACCCCGGCGAGGGGAGUGAAAAAGAACCUGAAACCGUGUACGUACAAGCAGUGGGAGCACGCUUAGGCGUGUGACUGCGUACCUUUUGUAUAAUGGGUCAGCGACUUAUAUUCUGUAGCAAGGUUAACCGAAUAGGGGAGCCGAAGGGAAACCGAGUCUUAACUGGGCGUUAAGUUGCAGGGUAUAGACCCGAAACCCGGUGAUCUAGCCAUGGGCAGGUUGAAGGUUGGGUAACACUAACUGGAGGACCGAACCGACUAAUGUUGAAAAAUUAGCGGAUGACUUGUGGCUGGGGGUGAAAGGCCAAUCAAACCGGGAGAUAGCUGGUUCUCCCCGAAAGCUAUUUAGGUAGCGCCUCGUGAAUUCAUCUCCGGGGGUAGAGCACUGUUUCGGCAAGGGGGUCAUCCCGACUUACCAACCCGAUGCAAACUGCGAAUACCGGAGAAUGUUAUCACGGGAGACACACGGCGGGUGCUAACGUCCGUCGUGAAGAGGGAAACAACCCAGACCGCCAGCUAAGGUCCCAAAGUCAUGGUUAAGUGGGAAACGAUGUGGGAAGGCCCAGACAGCCAGGAUGUUGGCUUAGAAGCAGCCAUCAUUUAAAGAAAGCGUAAUAGCUCACUGGUCGAGUCGGCCUGCGCGGAAGAUGUAACGGGGCUAAACCAUGCACCGAAGCUGCGGCAGCGACGCUUAUGCGUUGUUGGGUAGGGGAGCGUUCUGUAAGCCUGUGAAGGUGUACUGUGAGGUAUGCUGGAGGUAUCAGAAGUGCGAAUGCUGACAUAAGUAACGAUAAAGCGGGUGAAAAGCCCGCUCGCCGGAAGACCAAGGGUUCCUGUCCAACGUUAAUCGGGGCAGGGUGAGUCGACCCCUAAGGCGAGGCCGAAAGGCGUAGUCGAUGGGAAACAGGUUAAUAUUCCUGUACUUGGUGUUACUGCGAAGGGGGGACGGAGAAGGCUAUGUUGGCCGGGCGACGGUUGUCCCGGUUUAAGCGUGUAGGCUGGUUUUCCAGGCAAAUCCGGAAAAUCAAGGCCGAGGCGUGAUGACGAGGCACUACGGUGCUGAAGCAACAAAUGCCCUGCUUCCAGGAAAAGCCUCUAAGCAUCAGGUAACAUCAAAUCGUACCCCAAACCGACACAGGUGGUCAGGUAGAGAAUACCAAGGCGCUUGAGAGAACUCGGGUGAAGGAACUAGGCAAAAUGGUGCCGUAACUUCGGGAGAAGGCACGCUGAUACGUAGGUGAAGCGACUUGCUCGUGGAGCUGAAAUCAGUCGAAGAUACCAGCUGGCUGCAACUGUUUAUUAAAAACACAGCACUGUGCAAACACGAAAGUGGACGUAUACGGUGUGACGCCUGCCCGGUGCCGGAAGGUUAAUUGAUGGGGUUAGCGCAAGCGAAGCUCUUGAUCGAAGCCCCGGUAAACGGCGGCCGUAACUAUAACGGUCCUAAGGUAGCGAAAUUCCUUGUCGGGUAAGUUCCGACCUGCACGAAUGGCGUAAUGAUGGCCAGGCUGUCUCCACCCGAGACUCAGUGAAAUUGAACUCGCUGUGAAGAUGCAGUGUACCCGCGGCAAGACGGAAAGACCCCGUGAACCUUUACUAUAGCUUGACACUGAACAUUGAGCCUUGAUGUGUAGGAUAGGUGGGAGGCUUUGAAGUGUGGACGCCAGUCUGCAUGGAGCCGACCUUGAAAUACCACCCUUUAAUGUUUGAUGUUCUAACGUGGACCCGUGAUCCGGGUUGCGGACAGUGUCUGGUGGGUAGUUUGACUGGGGCGGUCUCCUCCUAAAGAGUAACGGAGGAGCACGAAGGUUGGCUAAUCCUGGUCGGACAUCAGGAGGUUAGUGCAAUGGCAUAAGCCAGCUUGACUGCGAGCGUGACGGCGCGAGCAGGUGCGAAAGCAGGUCAUAGUGAUCCGGUGGUUCUGAAUGGAAGGGCCAUCGCUCAACGGAUAAAAGGUACUCCGGGGAUAACAGGCUGAUACCGCCCAAGAGUUCAUAUCGACGGCGGUGUUUGGCACCUCGAUGUCGGCUCAUCACAUCCUGGGGCUGAAGUAGGUCCCAAGGGUAUGGCUGUUCGCCAUUUAAAGUGGUACGCGAGCUGGGUUUAGAACGUCGUGAGACAGUUCGGUCCCUAUCUGCCGUGGGCGCUGGAGAACUGAGGGGGGCUGCUCCUAGUACGAGAGGACCGGAGUGGACGCAUCACUGGUGUUCGGGUUGUCAUGCCAAUGGCACUGCCCGGUAGCUAAAUGCGGAAGAGAUAAGUGCUGAAAGCAUCUAAGCACGAAACUUGCC